rnacentral:rRNA from 1 species
GAGAUCGGGCGUUCCCCUCGGGGGACAGGGUGACAGGUGGUGCAUGGUUGUCGUCAGCUCGUGUCGUGAGAUGUUGGGUUAAGUCCCGCAGCGAGCGCAACCCUCGACCUUAGUUGCCAGCAUUCAGUUGGGCACUCUAAGGUGACUGCCGGCUAAAAGUCGGAGGAAGGUGGGGAUGACGUCAAAUCAUCAUGCCCCUUAUGACCUGGGCUACACACGUGCUACAAUGGGCGGUACAAAGGGUCGCGAACCCGCGAGGGGGAGCCAAUCCCAAAAAGCCGCUUUCAGUUCGGAUUGCAGGCUGCAACUCGCCUGCAUGAAGCCGGAAUCGCUAGUAAUCGCGGAUCAGCAUGCCGCGGUGAAUACGUUCCCGGGCCUU